UUCUCAUAUCAUAGUCAAUGUUUAUAUUGAAUAUCUUCAUAUGAUAGCUACAAGCACCACGUGUUGUACUGAAAUUUCUAUUUAUAUAGUUGUAUAUGCAAUAUUUGUCUGCGAGAACAGUUGUCUUGCUACAAUUUACAUCGGAAACUGAAUUUCGAGGAUGAAGACGGUACUUUAUCUGUGCUUGGUGCUGUUCACGUAUCUUCUGUUUUGUGAAGAAAGCGAAGGCAAAGCAAUGAAGAAACGUUGGCGGUGUUCUUGUGGAUCGGGAGGUUGUGGUUGCACGUACCGAUGGGGAAAAAAGAGAAAUUUGGAAGAAAUGGAAAGCAACUUUCCCCAACCGGAAGACGAAGAAAAGCGGGAUGAUCAGCUUGACGAUGCAAUGCUGAGUGAACAACUUUAAGUAGAUGAGCCACACCAAAGUUAAACGCCUCAUCUAGUCUAUCUCUGUUCUUCUCUGCAAAUUCUUAAAUAAAACAUCUCAAUGCAAUGUGAA